GAUGAAGAACGCAGCAAAAUGCGAUAAGUAAUGUGAAUUGCAGAAUUCAGUGAAUCUUCGAAUCUUUGAACGCACAUUGCGCCCGCUGGUACUCCGGCGGGCAUGCCUGUUCGAGCGUCAUUUCAACCCUCAAGCCCCCGGGUUUGGUGUUGGGGAUCGGCUCUGCCCUUCUGGGCGGUGCCGCCCCCGAAAUACAUUGGCGGUCUCGCUGCAGCCUCCAUUGCGUAGUAGCUAACACCUCGCAACUGGAACGCGGCGCGGCCAUGCCGUAAAACCCCAACUUCUGAAUGUUGACCUCGGAUCAGGUAGGAAUACCCGCUGAACUUAAGCAUAUCAAUAAGCGGAGGA
rnacentral:misc_RNA from 1 species